UGAUUACUAUCCACUUAUUGGGGAGUGAAGAUGUCUAACCUUCAUAAAUAUCACACGUGUUUUUUUCCUCGGUAGAUAUAAAAGGCUGCUUCGUUUCGAAUGCUAUAUACUUUCUCAUCUGCAGUUGUGAGAGUGAUUAUCUGAACCAUGCAGUACUUGUUCGCCUUUCUGGUCUUGGUCGCCUUAUUGGUGAGCGUCUUAGGACAGUGGCCUUACUACGCCAGCUACUACGAUCACCAUGCAGCCUAUCCAUAUGUUUACAACCACGGUCUUUACGACCCAGCUUUUACCUACCUGUGGAAGAAAUAGAUGAUUUCGGAUAAAAGACUUGAUUGACGUCACAAGGAAAUAGGAUGGACUCGACGUUACCUUUAGAAUGAAUUCCUCCUCUAACAAGUCUUUACAUGAAAUUUACUUCAGAUAAA